AGCUUAAUGUUAUAAUUUUAAGUGAAAUCUGCCCACCGUCUAUAAGAUAAAGGGCCGCAGUAACCUGACUGUGCAAAGGUAGCAUAAUCAAUUGCACCUUAAUUAGGUGAUGGAAUGAAUGAUUAAACGAGGUGUUAACUGUCUCAAAGUUAAAUAAUGAAUUUAUAUUUUAGGUUAAAAUACUUAAAUAGUAGUGAUAGACGAGAAGACCCUAUAGAUCUUUAUUUGUUUAUUCUUUAAGAUAAUGAUUAGACAAAUUUGGCUGGGGAAGCAAGUAAACUGUAAAACUUUACUUUAAAAAACCUUUAUAGUAGAAGAAGGGAGCCUAAGUGAAGCUUAAAAGAGAAAGUUACCUUAGGGAUAACAGCAUAAUAAAGAGUUUGGAGACCAUAUCUAAACUUGUGUUUAUGACCUCGAUGUUGAAUUAAGAUUACCUUGAGGAGAAGAGAAUUUACUAGGUUAGUCUGUUCGACUAUUAAAAUCU
rnacentral:rRNA from 1 species